UACAGAGGUCUCAAGCGUUGUUCGGAUUCAUUGGGCGUAAAGGGUGCGUAGGCGGCGCGGUAAGUCGGGUGUGAAAUCUCGGAGCUUAACUCCGAAACUGCAUUCGAUACUGCCGUGCUUGAGGACUGGAGAGGAGACUGGAAUUUACGGUGUAGCGGUGGAAUGCGUAGAUAUCGUAAGGAAGACCAGUGGCGAAGGCGGGUCUCUGGACAGUUCCUGACGCUGAGGCACGAAGGUCAGGGGAGCAAACGGG
rnacentral:rRNA from 1 species